NNNNNNNNNNNNNNNNNNNNNNNNNNNNNNNNNNNNNNNNNNNUUCCGUCCCGAGCUCCUUGGCGCUGCUGCCCCAGCACCGCCCCUUGCCUGCGCUGCACGGAUCCUCAGAGGCGAGGGCCAGUGGCUGUCUUCUCUGGGCCUCCUUAGAUGUUGUGUUUGCUGAGCGGAUUGUUUGCUUGCCGGCUCCAGCUCCGGGGCUGGCGGCUGACACUGCUCACCCGCGCUAAUUAGCUCAGCCAGCUGGUGCGUCCGCAAGGUUUUUCUGCGCGCUCCUCGGUGGGUGUUUCUUUUUUUAAACAUGAUCAAUGCCCUCUCCGGCUGGGCUCCCUCACACACUCCCUAUUGUUCUCCUGUUUGCAUUGUGCCCGGCUUCUGGUCAAGGACGCAGGGAGUCUGGGAAGGCGCGCACGCCCGGGGCUGGCAGGGAGCCUGCGGCGGAGCUCCACACAGCAGCUGCGGCUCGACCUCCCGCUGCCCCACGCCUGCAGCCUGCAGCGGUCUCUGCUACCGUGCUCAGCACCCCGGGGGGCUCUCGCGCCAGACACGUGGCAAGGAUGGGUGCUCCAGGGCGAAUUCCUCCCCCUCUGAGCCCCAGGGUCUGGGUAUGUCAAAGGAGGCCUCAGUUUCCAGUUCCGGUGCAGGUACUUCGGCCCUGUGGUUCUCAGAGGUCCCAGAAGGGCGUGAUGAGACGGGAUCCUCUUAGUGCAAGCGCCCAAGGAGGAAAAUACCCCCCACCCCGGGGGAGGGGAGCCAGGGAAGAGGCCACACCCAACAGGCCUGGCUCAAGGCUGGUCCCGCCCCCUCCAGCUGGCCCUGUAGCCCCCACGGUCCACGGGGAUCACUCUGCUUAUUUCGCCCAAGAGAUACAAACGGGGCCCCUCCUGCUCCUCUCCCCACUGUUGUCAGGCCGAGGUGACCCGGUGCAGAGACUGCGCAAGUAUGGAGUUGUUGACAACUCAUUCUGGGGUUUGGAUGCUCCCUGUUGCCGUCUCUGGAUGAAGUCAGAAGACACUGACAGAGCAGAUGCUGCAAAGCUUUUCUCAUGCUUCUCAGAGCUCUUGCAUGUUUUCGUGUCUUCAAAAAGAAACGUGGCAAUAAUACUUGUAAUAACUUUUUUUUUUUCUGGAAAACUUACUCAG
rnacentral:lncRNA from 1 species